rnacentral:rRNA from 1 species
CCUACGGGAGGCAGCAGUGGGGAAUAUUGCACAAUGGGGGAAACCCUGAUGCAGCGACGCCGCGUGAAUGAAGAAGUAUUUCGGUAUGUAAAGCUCUAUCAGCAGGGAAGAACAUGACGGUACCUGAUUAAGAAGCCCCGUCUAACUACGUGCCAGCAGCCGCGGUACUACGUAGGGGGCAAGCGUUAUCCGGAUUUACUGGGUGUAAAGGGAGCGUAGACGGCAGCACAAGUCUGGAGUGAAAUGCCGGGGCUUAACCACGGAACUGCUGUGGAAACUGUGCAGCUAGAGUGCAGGAGAGGUAGGUGGAAGUCGUAGUGUAGCGGUGAAAUGCGUAGAUAUUAGGAGGAACACCAGUGGCGAAGGCGGCUUACUGGACUGUAACUGACGUUGAGGCUCGAAAGCGUGGGGAGCAAACAGGAUUAGAUACCCUUGUAGUC